GAACGCUGGGGGCAUGCCUUACACAUGCAAGUAGAAAGGCAGCAUGGAGGAGCUUGCUCCUCUGAUGGCGAGUGGCGAACGGGUGAGUAAAGCAUCGGAACGUGCCGUGUAGUGGGGGAUAACGUAGCGAAAGUUACGCUAAUACCGCAUACGCACCGAGGUGGAAAGCAGGGGAUCGCAAGACCUUGCGCUAUACGAGCGGCCGAUGUCAGAUUAGCUAGUUGGUAGGGUAAAGGCCUACCAGAGCAACGAUCUGUAGCGGGUCUGAGAGGAUGAUCCGCCACACU
rnacentral:rRNA from 1 species